GAUUCCUUAGUGUAGUGGUUAUCACGUCAGUCUUACACACUGAAGGUCCCGAGUUCAAUCCUCGGAGGAAUCA
rfam:Tetrahymena thermophila SB210 genomic scaffold scf_8254457, whole genome shotgun sequence.